ensembl:lncRNA
UGAGCGCUCAAAUCCGCUGCCGAGGCUAGUUGUACCUCGAAGGGAAACACAUUGGAAUUUAAAACCACCCACUAAAACGCCUACCCUUAUUUCGGCGGUCCUGUCUUCAUCUUCUGUCCUCAUUGGCUUGACAGGCUCCACUUUGCAUCAGUCUAUUUUUCGGCAUCUGGAAGAAAAAAGGAUGCAAGAAAGACAGCAUAUGAGAGCUGUGAAGACUAUGGAUGAACUGAGGGAAAGACAAGGCCUCAAAGAUACAAAAGCUCCUCCAGCACUGGCUGUAAGACAUACGCAUCUGCUGUACGGCAUCUCAGAGCAGUAGGUGUACGGACAGGGAACGCAGACCGGGCCCGGGUACCUCCGGGGGUCUGCUUAAAGCACAGGUGAGGACAUGUUCGAGCUGCAUUCAGUAUACUAGCAGCAGAAGACGCGAGCCAGGCCCCGGGCAAGGACCUCUCUUCUCUCCGGUCUUUGAGAUCUCCACCCGGAACCGUUACACUCCCCUCCGCGAGACGGUAUGCGACACUGCGAUCAUUGAAGUCUCUAUCGUCCGGCACGACGAUCAUCGUGUCAGGACAGCUUCCCACGUAUCGACAAGGACAUGAAAGGGUCAGUAGAUUUUUUGCUUUAAACGAAUGGUUAUUGUCAUG